UAUAAGAGGUCCUGCCUGCCCAGUGACCCUAUGUUUAACGGCCGCGGUACUUUGACCGUGCAAAGGUAGCGCAAUCACUUGUCUUUUAAAUGAAGACCUGUAUGAAUGGCACGACGAGGGCUUAACUGUCUCCUUUUUCUAGUCAAUGAAAUUGAUCUUCCCGUGCAGAAGCGGGAAUAACAUCAUAAGACGAGAAGACCCUGUGGAGCUUUAGACACUAAAUCAGCCCCUGUCAAGCACCCCCCUUCUAAAGGACUGAACUCUAUGGGAGAACUGACCUGAUGUCUUCGGUUGGGGCGACCCCGGGGAAAGAAAAACCCCCGCGUGGAAUAGGAGUACUACACUCCCAAAACCAAGAGUAGCCACUCAAAGUAUCAGAAAUUCUGACCAAUUACGUGAUCCGGCUUUACGCCGAUCAACGGACCAAGUUACCCCAGGGAUAACAGCGCAAUCCUCUUUUAGAGCCCAUAUCGACAAGAGGGUUUACGACCUCGAUGUUGGAUCAGGACAUCCUAAUGGUGCAGCCGCUAUUAAGGGUUCGUUUGUUCAACGAUUAAAGUCCU
rnacentral:rRNA from 1 species